CCAUAUGCACGUGUGUUACCGGACCGGGAGGACUGCUACUACCACAGAGACUAGACAACAGGCUAGACGAACCUACACCACAAAUCAAACCAUAGAGCGGAAAGCCAGAUAAUGCAAACUAUAGAGUUUCAAAGAGGCUAGGAACGGAAAAGGACAAAGAAAAGAUGCAUCACUUCAUCAUGAAUCUUCAUGAAUAUAGCUAAACUAGUGCAUACAGCUACUGCAGGUCUUUCCAAUCUAACCAACAAGGAAACUGUACAGAUACAGAUGAUCAGGCACCACCAUAAGGAACUGUGCGGUACUCUCCUCUACAUCUGUGUCAGUAGAAGGAGGCCAUCAGCCAAUCAAAAUUUCCCCAUUGUCUCAGUCACUGUAAUUGCAGAACAGGGCACUUUUCUCCAGAAGAAUGCAAAAGACCAAAUCUACUUGUGUACAGCCGGCUUUAAUGACUAGGGGCCGGAUGUAAUGGCUUGCGAGGCAGAGGAGCGCCAAGACUCCGGCCGA